CUAGGUGUGACAAAUCGUAGGGCAGGAGCAUCAGACACAUUCUAUGGGAGGUCCAUAUUUCAUUUUGAAGAGGGGGCUGGCACCAAGGCUACAAGUUUAUCAUAUGAUAUGGCUCCCAGCACACCAGAACUCACUGAUGUCAAUGGGAACUUUGCACAAGGACUGAGGAGCACUGGCAGGUGGAGCAUUUAAAAGGGAGGUGAUUCAGAGACAGCUGCUUCUCACCAGCUGUGCCAGCAGACUUCAGUGAUUCAUAGAUUCCAAGGCCAGAAAGGACAAUUGUGAUAAUCCAGUCUGACCUCCUUUGUAACACAGGCACAGAACUUCCCCAAAGUAAUUAAUUGUGAAUAGCUUUUAGAAAAACAGCCAACCUUGAUUUUAAAAUUGCCAGUGAUGAAGAAACCCCCACAGCACAGGUCACUGAUAAGCAUGUUGAAGAGCAUAGGGCCAAGAACUAAUCCUUGUGGACCCUACUGAAAAUGCAGCCACUCAAUGACAAUUUCUCAUUUACAAUUACAAUUUGACACUUUCUCAGCAGAGAGGACCAGACUGAAUAGGUGUGGUGAAUGAAAUAGCUUUUCACACCCAGUGGAGUUGCUUAUGGCGGAAUGAAGGGGCAGCGUGUGGGAGCUUGCACAGCUACUGGACCUGUUAUUUUCAUUCUGAAAUUUAUU